rnacentral:rRNA from 1 species
GAUGAACGCUGGCGGCGUGCCUAAUACAUGCAAGUCGAGCGAACGGACGAGAAGCUUGCUUCUCUGAUGUUAGCGGCGGACGGGUGAGUAACACGUGGAUAACCUACCUAUAAGACUGGGAUAACUUCGGGAAACCGGAGCUAAUACCGGAUAAUAUUUUGAACCGCAUGGUUCAAAAGUGAAAGACGGUCUUGCUGUCACUUAUAGAUGGAUCCGCGCUGCAUUAGCUAGUUGGUAAGGUAACGGCUUACCAAGGCAACGAUGCAUAGCCGACCUGAGAGGGGGAUCGGCCACACUGGAACUGAGCCACGGUCCCGACUCCUACGGGAGGCCGCAGUAGGGAACCUUCCGCAAUGGGCGAAAGCCUGACGGAGCAACGCCGCGUGAGUGAUGAAGGUCUUCGGAUCGUAAAACUCUGUUAUUAGGGAAGAACAUAUGUGUAAGUAACUGUGCACAUCUUGACGGUACCUAAUCAGAAAGCCACGGCUAACUACGUG